rnacentral:rRNA from 1 species
UACGGGGGGGGCAAGCGUUGUUCGGAAUUACUGGGCGUAAAGGGCUCGUAGGUGGCCAACUAAGUCAUACGUGAAAUCCCUCGGCUUAACCGGGGAACUGCGUCUGAUACUGGAUGGCUUGAGGUUGGGAGAGGGAUGCGGAAUUCCAGGUGUAGCGGUGAAAUGCGUAGAUAUCUGGAGGAACGCCGGUGGCGAAGGCGGCAUCCUGGACCAAUUCUGACACUGAGGAGCGAAAGCCAGGGGAGCAAACGGG